rnacentral:lncRNA from 1 species
UAGUACAAAAUAGUCCAAGCCUACUAUAAAACAAGCUCGGCCCCUCAGCACAAGCGUAACCUCAAUCUAUACUAAUCUAAGUAUCCACUACGCACUAACAGCGGUGAUACAAAAGAAUAACGACUCAUGAAGCUAAUUCGGUUACUUUUCGAAAAGUGACAGUGCAGGUUUAACUAGUUUUCUCCUAAGUCAAAUCCCAGUUCAGCAUGUAACAAAUCUUCUAAAAUUAUUAAAUUAGGCUCCAAAUUCAGAUUUCAUAAAAGACAUGCAAAUCUAUGAAUUUGAGCUACUAAACAUGGUGAAUAAAGCCAAGAAAUACACGCUAACAACUCUAUGACUUAGAAGAAAAUCCGACGAUUUCGGUAAACAUUAAUCUACCUCGAACGCUCAUCCAACACCGCCUAGAAGUCGAUAGAAGAAACUUCGCGCACUCGCUCGACCUCCAACGGCUCAACUGAGACAACCCACGUGCACGAAC